CCUACGGGCGGCUGCAGUGAGGAAUAUUGGUCAAUGGACGAAAGUCUGAACCAGCCAAGUAGCGUGAAGGAUGACUGCCCUAUGGGUUGUAAACUUCUUUUAUAAAGGAAUAAAACGAGGCACGUGUGCCUUUUUGCAUGUACUUUAUGAAUAAGGAUCGGCUAACUCCGUGCCAGCAGCCGCGGUAAUACGGAGGAUCCGAGCGUUAUCCGGAUUUAUUGGGUUUAAAGGGAGCGUAGAUGGGGUGUUAAGUCAGUUGUGAAAGUUUGCGGCUCAACCGUAAAAUUGCAAUUGAUACUGGCAGUCGUGAGUACAGUUGAGGUAGGCGGAAUUCGUGGUGUAGCGGUGAAAUGCUUAGAUAUCACGAAGAACCCCGAUUGCGAAGGCAGCUUACUAAACUGUGACUGACAUUGAUGCUCGAAAGUGUGGGUAUCAAACAGGAUUAGAUACCCGGGUAGC
rnacentral:rRNA from 1 species